CAACAAUCGUCUUCGCUCAAAAUUGGUACGAUUUUUUUUCUCGAGUCCAUUGAUCGUUACAACGUUUAACUUUCCUAAUUUUACCGAAGACGAUAAACUAUAAACGCAAUUGAUACAAAUUGUUAUCAAUAAUAUUAGUUGUAAACCAAAUUAAUCUUUCAUCUUUGGAAAACAAUUAAGAAUCGAUGAGCCUUUAAGCCCAAAUUGGAUAAACUAAUUGACCCUCCAGGGAAUAUCAAUUAACCUUUAACCCUUCACUUUCCAUCAACUAUUUAAGAUCUGAAACUUUUGUUUUCCGUCUUCAUUAAUGAAACUGAUUCCAAAAAGUAUUUUGAUUGUAAUAGUUAAUUUAUAUUCUAAAUCAUGUCCGUAAUUGCUGCUCUAUCAAGUCUUCGUGAUUUAACCUCGCAAGAUCCUUCACCAACUAUGGUUCCUCUUUUAACACGUGUUUUAAUUGUUCCACUGAUGAUAAUUGCUCGUCAAAUCGGCAGUAUCUUGGCCCUUUCGGGAGCGGGUGGCUUUUUGUUGGUCAGUUUAUUGUUGUCACUUUUGACUGGACAACCGGUGUUACGAUCUUUGGGCAUAAAUACAAAAGGAUCAGUUCCCUUGGCUCGAGAUUUUGAUUACUAUGAGAAAGAUUCUGAUUAUACAUGAAUUUAAAUCACCUUUGUGAAUGUUAACAAUCAAUUAUUCAACCUCAUGUACAAUGAACUUUGAACAGAACCAAUUAAAUCUAAUCAAACUAUUCA